GCCUCGGUGGUGUAGUGAUGGAGCACUCGUCCCCGGUAUGGAUGAAACGCGGGUUCGAUUCCCGUCGGAGGUC